GAUGAAGAACGCAGCGAAAUGCGAUAAGUAAUGCGAAUUGCAGAAUUUCCGUGAGUCAUCGAAUCUUUGAACGCACAUUGCGCCCACUGGUAUUCCGGUGGGCAUGCCUGUUCGAGCGUCAUUAUCCUCCCUCAAAACUCCUGUUUUGGUGUUGGGUGUUUGUCUCGCCAUUGCGCGUAGACUCGCCUUAAAGCAAUUGGCAGCCGGCAAAAGCCUGGGAGCGCAGCACAAUUGUUGCUUUCAGACUGCUUGUCGAGCGUCCAGCAAGCCUAUUAUUCUUGCGUUUGACCUCGGAUCAGGUAGGGAUACCCGCUGAACUUAAGCAUAUCAAUAAGCGGAGGA
rnacentral:misc_RNA from 1 species